rnacentral:rRNA from 2 species
UGGGGAAUAUUGGGCAAUGGGCGAAAGCCUGACCCAGCAACGCCGCGUGAAGGAAGAAGGUUUUCGGAUCGUAAACUUCUAUCCUUGGUGAAGAUAAUGACGGUAGCCAAGAAGGAAGCCCCGGCUAACUACGUGCCAGCAGCCGCGGUAAUACGUAGGGGGCAAGCGUUGUCCGGAAUGAUUGGGCGUAAAGGGCGCGUAGGCGGCCUGGUAAGUCUGGAGUGAAAGUCCUGCUUUUAAGGUGGGAAUUGCUUUGGAUACUGCUGGGCUUGAGUGCAGGAGAGGUAAGUGGAAUUCCCGGUGUAGCGGUGAAAUGCGUAGAGAUCGGGAGGAACACCAGUGGCGAAGGCGACUUACUGGACUGUAACUGACGCUGAGGCGCGAAAGUGUGGGGAGCAAACAGG